GCUAAAAGAUGGACUCGCGUCCGAUUAGCUAGAUGGUGAGGUAACGGCCCACCAUGGCAACGAUCCGUAGCCGAACUGAGAGGGUGACCGGCCACAUUGGGACUGAGACACGGCCCACACUCCUACGGGAGGCAGCAGUGGGGAAUAUUGCACAAUGGGGGAAAGCCUGAUGCAGCGACGCCGCGUGAAGGAAGAAGUUUUUCGGUAUGUAAAGUUCUAUCACCAGGGAAGAUAAUGACGGUACCUGAGUAAGAAGCACCGGCUAAAUACGUGCCAGCAGCCGCGGUAAUACGUAGGGUGCAAGCGUUAUCCGGAAUUACUGGGUGUAAAGGGAGCGCAGGCGGUUCGACAAGUUGGAAGUGAAAUCCAGGGGCUCAACCCAUAUAUUGCAUUCAAAACUGUCAUUCUAGAGUGUCGUAGAGGUAAGCGGAAUUCCUAGUGUAGCGGUGAAAUGCGUAGAUAUUAGGAGGAACACCAGUGGCGAAGGCGGCUUACUGGACGAUAACUGACGCUGAGGCUCGAAAGCAUGGGGAGCAAACAGGAUUAGAUACCCUGGUAGUCCACGCCGUAAACGA
rnacentral:rRNA from 1 species